UACAGAGGGUGCAAGCGUUGCUCGGAAUCACUGGGCGUAAAGGGCGCGUAGGCGGGAUGGCAAGUCGGUCGUGAAAUCCCUGGGCUCAACUCAGGGGGGUCGGCCGAUACUGCCGUUCUUGAGGGAUGCAGAGGAGACUGGAAUUCCCGGUGUAGCGGUGAAAUGUGUAGAGAUCGGGAGGAACACCGGUGGCGAAGGCGGGUCUCUGGGCAUUCCCUGACGCUGAGGCGCGAAAGCGUGGGAGCAAACGGG
rnacentral:rRNA from 1 species